rnacentral:rRNA from 1 species
UACGUAGGUGGCAAGCGUUGUUCGGAAUUAUUGGGCGUAAAGGGCGCGUAGGCGGUUUGUUAAGUCGGUUGUGAAAGCCCGGGGCUCAACCCCGGAGGGUCAACCGAUACUGGCAGGCUAGAGUACAGAAGAGGUAGCUGGAAUUCCCGGUGUAGCGGUGAAAUGCGCAGAUAUCAGGAGGAACACCGAUGGCGAAGGCAGCUCACUGGGACGGUACUGACGCUGAGGCGCGAAAGCGUGGGGAGCAAACAGG